AGUGAACGCUGGCGGUAGGCCUAACACAUGCAAGUCGAACGGCAGCACAGUAAGAGCUUGCGCUUACGGGUGGCGAGUGGCGGACGGGUGAGGAAUACAUCGGAAUCUACUUUUUCGGGUGGGAUAAUGUAGGGAAACUUACGCUAAUACCGCAUACGUCCUACGGUGGAAAGCAGUGGAUCUUCGGACCUUGCGCGAUUGAAUGAGCCGAUGUCGGAUUGGCUGGUUGGCGGGGUAAAGGCCCACCAAGGGGACGAUCCGUAGCUGGUCUGAGUGGAUGGUAGGCCACCUUGGAACUGAAACAGGGACCAGACUACUAAGGGAGGCGGCAGUGGGGAACAUUGGACAAUGGGCGCAAACCUGAUCCAGCCAUACCGAGUGGGUGAAGAAGGCCUUCGGGUUGUAAAGACCUUUUGUUGGGAAAGAAAAGCAGCAGGUUAAUACCCCGCUGUUCUGACGGUACCCAAAGAAUAAGCACCGGCUAACUUCGUG
rnacentral:rRNA from 1 species